rnacentral:rRNA from 1 species
GACGAACCGUGCGAACGUUGUUCGGAAUCACUGGGCUUAAAGGGCGCGUAGGCGGGCUGUCAAGUCUGGGGUGAAAUGCCACGGCUCAACCGUGGAACUGCCUUAGAUACUGACGGCCUCGAGGAAGGUAGGGGCAUGCGGAACUGUAGGUGGAGCGGUGAAAUGCGUUGAUAUCUACAGGAACUCCGGUGGCAAAAGCGGCGUGCUGGACCUUUUCUGACGCUGAGGCGCGAAAGCUAGGGGAGCAAACGGG